AACGUAGGACGCAAGCGUUAUCCGGAGCUACUGGGCGUAAAGCGCGGGCAGGCGGUCUUGCCAGUCUGAUGUGAAAUCUCCUCGCUCAACGGGGAGCAGCCAUUGGAAACUACAAGACUGGAGUCUGACAGAGGUAGGCGGAAUUCCGGGUGGAGUGGUGAAAUGCGUAGAGAUCCGGAGGAACACCAGAGGCGAAGGCGGCCUACUGGGUCAGUACUGACGCUGAGCCGCGAAAGCCAGGGGAGCGAACGGG
rnacentral:rRNA from 1 species